rnacentral:rRNA from 1 species
GCGAUCAUACCAGCACUAAUGCACCGGAUCCCAUCAGAACUCCAAAGUUAAGCGUGCUUGACUUAGAGAAAUCUGAGGAUGGGUGACCUCCUGGGAAGUUUUCCAGGGUGCGUGCG